GGGUCGAUGGCGUAGUCGGUUAUCGCAUCUGUCUUACAUGUCGUGGUCCACCGUUACACAGAAGGUCCUCAGUUCGAGCCUGGGUCGACUCA